CCUACGGGUGGCUGCAGUGAGGAAUAUUGGUCAAUGGGCGCGAGCCUGAACCAGCCAAGUCGCGUGAGGGAAGACGGUCCUAUGGAUUGUAACCCUCUUUUGUCGGGGAGCAAAAGACGCCACGCGUGGCGUUCCGAGAUUACCCGCAGAUAAAGCAUCGGCUAACUCCGUGCCAGCAGCCGCGGUAAUACGGAGGAUGCGAGCGUUAUCCGGAUUUAUUGGGUUUAAAGGGUGCGCAGGCGGAAGAUCAAGUCAGUGGUAAAAUUGAGAGGCACGACCUCUUCGAGCCGUUGAAACUGGUUGUCUGGAGUGAGCGAGAAGUAUGCGGAAGGCGUGGUGUAGCGGGGAAAUG
rnacentral:rRNA from 1 species